CAGAUUAAAUCUUUUAGUUAAGAAUUUCAUUUACAUUGAAAAUUUGUGUUGUGCAAUUCAAUAUAAUCUGA
rnacentral:tRNA from 1 species